UACGAAGGGUGCAAGCGUUGCUCGGAAUUAUUGGGCGUAAAGGGUUGGUAGGUGGUCUUGUUUGUCUAAGGUGAAAUCCCAUGGCUUAACUGUGGAAGUGCCUUAGAAACGGCAAGACUAGAGUCCUAGAGGGGUUUGUGGAAUUCCCGGUGUAGCGGUGAAAUGCGUAGAUAUCUGGAGGAACACCGGUGGCGAAGGCGGCAUCCUGGACCAACACUGACACUGAGGAGCGAAAGCCAGGGGAGCAAACGGG
rnacentral:rRNA from 1 species